CGUCUUCAGGGCGUGGUGCAAUUCCCGACCGGCGGUGAGAGUCCGCGAGCCACUUGUGGCCGACAAGGUGCGAUUCCUUGACCGACAGUAGAGUCUGGAUGGAAGAAGGC
rnacentral:ncRNA from 1 species